UAGCCUAGUGGUUAAGGCAAUGGAUCGCCAAUCCGAAGCGCGCGGAUUCAAUUCCCGU
rfam:Aedes albopictus isolate Foshan contig42277, whole genome shotgun sequence.